UACAGCUACGGUUCAGGAACCAAGGAGACGUUACAUGCGGGUAGGGACUGGCUAAGACGUCUCUGCAGCGGGCAGAAGAAGUAAGUGUUGCUCGUGCCGACAACAUGACGAGCACGCGCAGUUCAAGGAGAAGGAGCUCGGCAGGGCAGGCACCGGAGGGCGCUCGGCGGCAGGUCCUGGGGCUGUCCAGCGCUGUGAGCGGCCUCAACCUCAGAGCGUCACGGUACCUAUACCUCAGGGCGUGGGCUCGAGGCGGGCGGUGGCAACGGGCCUUGGCUGCGGCCUGCUGAGCUGGGCGGGCAAGGUCGGCCAAGGGGAGCUAGGGUAGCGGUCCUGGGAACAGCAACAGAAGAGGUAACGGAACAAGACAACAACAAAGACAAAAGAAGUCCUUGCUCUUGGCGUCGUCAAGCGGGCGAGCAGAGCGAGCACGCAACUGACUCGCGCCCCGAUCAUCCGGGUCGAUGCGCGGAUCGUCGGUCUAGGCCGGACGGGACGGAGGAGGUGUUUGACCCGAACCGGGUACCAAGGCUAUUGCAGCGCAAACACUCCUAGGCAAGCUGAUGCAGGCAAACAGAAGAAGUACCUGAGCAAGAAGAAGGAACGCCCUAAAGUCAAACGUCCACGGCUACUUUGGCACGUCCACUGUGUUGGUUCGAGUUCCUCCUCGAGCUACUUCUAGCACAAGCAAUACAACAAGGCAAAGGUCAACUAGUCAUCACCUCGGGCCAACCCUGCUGGCCCCUAGACACAUCGUAAACCCCAUCAGAAGAAAGUAAAACCCAAGG
rnacentral:rRNA from 1 species